UUUGACUUAGGAGAGAAAUGAGCUCAGCUGAUCCACCAUCUGUUACUAGGUUGGGAAUUGGAAAACACCGGACUUGGAUCACCGUCUUCAAUUGGAACAAGCAUACAUUGGAAGACUUUCUAAGACCUUUUGCUCAAGGGCAAACCUUAUUCUCAGAUUGGAUCAAGUUGAGAAGCCCAUGAAGUAUUGUCACCAAGCAUACAGGAGGAAAAAACAGUGAUUUUAUUUGCUGUUAUUGAAUGCCCUGAAUUUAAUUAAGCCACUCAGAAGGGGAGACAGGUGGCAGGACGCACAAGGAAUUUUGCCGCACUGGGUUGAAAAGCAUCAUGAAAGCAUUUCAGGUUCUUUGGCAAGUGCCUCUGUUCCCUCCAAGGGCUCUGCUGACAGUCUUCUCUCCUGCUCCACUUGUCACACUGGGGGCUGCUGCUGUUACUCUGGGUGUGCCACACCAUACAGGGUGCCUCUGCUGCUCUGCAUUGCCUCUUUGGCCUUGUCGGAUGCCACAGACCAUGUCUGGUGUCUACUGCUGGUCUGCUAGAACCUCACCAGACUCCCUGGCCACACAUACAGUCUAAAUCCCAUUGUGAUGUUCUGUGCUGCCAAGUAUUGUGCUUUGGGAUCAAAGUGUUGAGAAGGACAGUGACUCUUUCAAAUGUCAUUCCAUUGGGGUCAACUCUAGUGAUUUCUCACUGUAUUUGACAGUUUAGUGCAAGAGCUCUCUCAGUUUUUAGAGUCAUACGUUUCCCUGUACACAUUCAUAGAGCUGGGGAGAGUGAGCAAUAGCCAAGACAUUGCUGAAAUCACAAUGUGGAACUCCUCAAGGCUAUGCAUGUACAUUAUUGCAAAGAAUAAGGCUUUGUUCCUCAUCCAUCCUCUGGUAGUCACAGCUUUAUUUUAAUUAGAGCUGUUUCCAUAAAGCUAGCAUAGAGAUAUGUGUCUGUCUACAGGACGAGUUCGUGAGAUGUGCCCAAAGCAAUGGUAAAUAAGGCUUGAGUUUUCUAGGAGGCAAUUCAGUCCUUCUGCAAAUAGAUCCUCACCUCUGCUGCUACAUUUGGUAUGCACUUUUACCUUGGCAUGCACCACGGUGCCCUGUGAUUAUUAAUUUACUUCCAUGUCUUGGUCUUCAUGUCUCUCUGUAGAUCUUUAAGGGCAGGGACAAUACAUUAUUCAACUUUAUUUAAAAAUUCUAACAUCUAUCCUAGUGUUAGAUACUGAGCAAACAUGCAGCAAAUGUGUCCUGUAUAAAUGAAACAAGUCAUAUUCCAAUUUUUUUGUUUUCCUCCUGGUUUUACUUAAUGAAACUCAUUGAACUAAAAAUAUCUAAUCUUUAUAUUCCUCCAGCAAACUAUGAGACUUAGUCCAUUUUAGAUUCUUAUUAAAAUUUACUGAAUUGCCUUUUUUGGUAUUCAUAAAUGUAUGAAAGUGACUUACCAAUUAGUGAUAAUUAUUAUUAAUUGCUUAUUAAUAGAUUAUAAUUGGAGCCCAGCACAUAUUGUUACAGGCCUUAUCAUAUUUCAGGCAACACUUCGAUUUUAAAACAAACAUUAAAAAAAAUUCUUAUUUGAUGACUCUGAGGAUAGACCUCCCACCAUAAGCCUUUAUCCAUGCUAGAGUGGAAUAGACAGAUGCAUUUCAUUUACAGCGUAAGAUAAAAUUGCUCUUUGAUAUUCAGUACUCUGUGUGGGGAAAGCCUUUUUUUUCUUUUCUGAAUUCCAGUAAUUGUCUUGUUUGUAGUCCCUUGCUGCAGACCUUUGCCUCCUGCCAACUGCUUGCCAGACGUGGUCUCAAUGUUAAGAAGGGAGAGGUUCCCAGAGAGCAUAAGAUAUAUAUUGAAAUCAAACAUUUUUCUAAAACUAUUGUUUUCCAAUUUCCACUAAAUCAUACCUUUUGUGACCCUUCUUACUCAGUGGAUUUCAAAACACUUAGCAAAAGAAUAACUAAAAUAAAAAGUCAUUACUCACAGAUGCUUUGCACACCUGAAGGGUAAAGUUGGUUUUUCUUUUGUGUGUUAUUUAUACCAAUGACACACCAUUUCUUUAUUAUUUUUGAGUUUCAUUCUUUAGGUUAACUGGCUCCACUUUGAUUUCUGCUGCUCAGCUAUGACACAACAAUUGAAUUUAAGUAUCAGCCUAUUACUUACUCUGUAUGUUUCAAAAUUCAAGGUCAGAAUAAAAAAUUAGAAAACAAAUG
rnacentral:lncRNA from 10 species